rnacentral:rRNA from 1 species
CCUACGGGAGGCAGCAGUGGGGAAUAUUGGACAAUGGGGGCAACCCUGAUCCAGCCAUGCCGCGUGUGUGAAGAAGGCCCUCGGGUUGUAAGCACUUUCAGUGAGGAAGAACGCCUGGUGGUUAAUACCCAUCAGGAAAGACAUCACUCACAGAAGAAGCACCGGCUAACUCCGUGCCAGCAGCCGCGGUAAUACGGAGGGUGCGAGCGUUAAUCGGAAUUACUGGGCGUAAAGCGCGCGUAGGUGGCUUGAUAAGCCGGUUGUGAAAGCCCCGGGCUCAACCUGGGAACGGCAUCCGGAACUGUCAAGCUAGAGUGCAGGAGAGGAAGGUAGAAUUCCCGGUGUAGCGGUGAAAUGCGUAGAGAUCGGGAGGAAUACCAGUGGCGAAGGCGGCCUUCUGGACUGACACUGACACUGAGGUGCGAAAGCGUGGGUAGCAAACAGGAUUAGAUACCCUAGUAGUC